CUAACCCGAAAUUUCUUUUUCUCUGUCGCCUCUCUCUCCUUUAGCAGAAGAGUGGACGAUGAUGUUCUGGGAUUGAGCUUCACCAAGGAGAAAGCAAAGGCAGCAAAGCAUUUUUUUAUGAUGAUGAUACAGGAGAUUUCUUGCUAUUUUGAUCUGGAGCUUGGGAAAAUCAAGACUAAACGUUUUGCUGCAAGAGAGUGUAAUGGUGGACGACAUGAUUGGCACAACAGGAACCAUAAGCAAAGGUGCGGCUCUGUCACUUAUGCUUAAAGAUAGCUUACGGAUCUGAUCCUCAUACUGUGGAACAGGAAGAGGUAGGUCAAAAACUUUAUCCCAAACAAAAAGCGGGUCUUCUACUAAUGUUUUUGAUGAAGUUUGGAAUCAAUGGAAAAGCAUGCGUUUUAAGAACUCAGUUUCGGAUAUGUUGAUUUGGAGGUGAUAGCUAUACAACAGGUCAAGAGUUCAAUUAAAGAGAGGUGUUGACAUUGUUGUUAGAAUCCUUGGUCGUAUGAAGUGGAUGCUUCAAAUUCCUGGGGUAACCAGUUACAUGGGAUCCAUUGGAAAUGAUAAAUACAAAGAGGCAAUGAAGAAGGAUGUACAACAGCUGGUGUCAAUGUUCACCAUCAUGAAGAUGAGUCGUCAUCAACCGGAACUUGCGGUAUUUGUGUUGUUAAUGGAGAAAAAUCUUUUCAAUGGUCUUGGAAAACCAGCAGCAAAAUUGAAA